rnacentral:misc_RNA from 1 species
GCCAUAUCUUUGUAAAUCAUAUGAAUAGACACAAAAUGUCUAUAUUGAUUCUUUUGAGCUUCAACUCUGUUUCAAAUUUCAGAUUUUAUAAAAAAAAAACCAAUAUCAUUCAAUUUUUCUACUGUCUUAAGCCCGAAUCCAUAACCAAUUAGACAACAAGAUAUAGAAGUGAAUUAAAUUGUUACUUCUUCCACAAUCACUUCCUUUUUUCUUUUCUGCUAAGUUGAUGUCUU